GGACUCAAAAUCAACGUUAAACCAAACAUUUUAUCAUUCACAUCCAUCGGGCAGAAACUUUCUUUUGUGUUGAAGGUUAAUGGACGGAUGGUUGAAGACAUAGUCUCUGCUUCGUUAGUGUGGGAUGACGGUUUACAUAAAGUGAGGUCCCCCAUUAUUGUGUAUGCAGUCCAAUAAAAUUCCAAAAGCCUGGUGUUUUGUAGCAGAAGCAUCGGAAUUGUGGUAUCUAUCAUGUUGAACUAAAUGAUGUGGUAUCUAUAUAAGAUGGAAAUAAAUGAUAAUAUUUAGUAUCGGUUGUAUUACCUGUCCAUACGAGCUAUUAGAUCGAAUACCAAUCGCACGAGCGACUUGAACGCCCGGUAGACCCGAAGGUUCGUUCUCAAUACCCUUCUUUCUCCUCUCCCGGCCACUUUUCUCCUAGGCGGCCAGGCCCAUCCUUUCUUUUUGCUCUCCCUAGGCACUUUUCUCCGGGGCCCACCGCACCUUUAUGUGAUACUUUAAGGACGUAGCUUUAUCAUGGUUGAAAUUAUUGCCAAAACAUAUAUAUUUAAAUAAUAAUCAAAUAAAAAUUUCAUAAUUAGACUAAUUUUAUUCAAAUAUACACUUAAAUAAAAGUCAAAUAAGAACUCCAUAGUUAUUUUCUUUUUAAAAAAAAUCUUUUAUGGGACAAGUUAUUGUUGAAAGUACAUGUAUCAAAUUUCAUGCCUUUUUUUGUUUCUCUUUAUUUUAUUAAUUUCUUAUUUUAAAAAUAUUUUUAUAUAUUUUAAAUUUUUUUCUACAAAUGUACUUAUGUAGAAAAAUUAAAAUUAAUUACAGUGAAAUAUAUUUGUACCAAUCUUCAAGAGGAGUGAAUAAAAUUAAUCUUUUUAAACAAAUCAACAUACCUUGAAAAUAACCUAAAAAUAUUUUAAAAGAACUUUUGGAAAUAAUUUUGUUCUAAUUUGGAAAAAAAAUUAUAAUUAAAUUUAAAUAAAAAUUAUUUCAUUAAAAAUGUCGUCAUCUUUGAUAUAUCUGAGGGUUUUUGGCAUUUUUUCGGUUUCCAUGUCAUGAUUAUUUAUUAAUUUGUAAUUUUAAAAUUCUUUUUAAAAUUUUUUUUACUCCUAAAAGAUAAGAUAAAAGACUCAUACCUCAAUUUUGUUUCAUCAAAAUUUGAAAAAAAAAAUUGAAAUAUAUAUAUAUAUAUAUAUAUAUAUAUAUAUAUAUAUAUAUAUAUAUAUAUAUAUAUAUAUUAGUUUUAAUUAGAGAAACAAAUUAUUUAUUUAUUAUUAAAAAAGAUUGGCUUUUAAGAUUAAAUGCUUAUAAUAUGCCAAUCACUAAAAUAAUAAAAAAUAAUUCAAAAAAAAAAAAAACCUCUAAUAUGCACUCUGUCAACAAUACAUUUGUAUUGAUUUUACAACGUAGGUAUAAAACAUUUUGUUGUGAAUAUGUUACAAGAUACUUGAAAAGUGUAGUCCUAUAAAUUUGUUUUAAGAUGAUUUUACUUAAUUCUUCAAAAAUGGAAAGACCAUUCAUGGUAUUUUCUUUGUAUUCACAAUUAAAAAGAGUGCAUGGGACCAUGUAAAAGGGAAUACAUUCUCUAUUUUAAAGGAAUGAGUUUCUUCUCCCACACCCAAGAGAAUUUGACAUUGUGGAAUAAUUUUUACUUAGGGCCUGUUUGGAAAGUGUUCUUGAAAACUGUUUUUUGUUUUCUAGAACAAAAAAGGAUGUUUCUAUUCUCCGUGUUUUCCAUGUUCUCAAAACCCUGUUUUCUGAUAACAACUUCAAGUUGUUUUCCCUGUUUUUUUGCACCAUUUAGAGGAAAAAAGAGGUGGUUGUUCUCCGUGUUUUCAAAAGGGUGUUCUCCUUGUUCUCGUGUCUCUCUUUCUUAGGUAAAACGUGUUAGCCUUAACCCUUUAAAAUCAAACCCAAUUUGAUAGUUCUGAGAGUAGAGAAAGAGUAAUUUAGAGGCUUUCCUAUUGAAUUUUCACCCCUCGACGGCAGCUACAGUAGCCACGGCCACCGCAAUCACAUGGCGUUGCUCGGCGGCGGCAGCAGCAGAGACAUCAUCAUUCACUGGUGCAACACCACCACCAUCAUUGAUGCUGACGAAAGCUGCAACCUUUCAUUGGGUUUGUGGCGAUGCGGUUUCUUGGUUCGUGGGUUUCCGGAAGAUCAAUCUCCGUUUCUCUAUUUUCUACGCAAAACCCAGCAAACACCACUAUUGCAUCCAUCUACCCACCACUUCAAAUAGACCAAAAAACAGAAUAAAUUCAAAAAUUUCAACAAGAAAAAAUCUCAAACCUUUUCUUCAUCUUCCUCCCGGUCAUGUUCCUCUCUUCUUCUACCACCUCUCUUAUCAGUCUCUUUGGUAGGAGAUCUGAAAGCCCUUUUCACAGCAAUCAACCAUGAACUUCCCCCCUUCUUCCCCAUAACCUAGCCGCAUUUACAGCAACCCAGCUAAACCGAACUCCACAAAACAAGCAGCAGGAGUAUAAUUUCAAUGAUGUUUUGACCUAAAACAUGUAUUAGUAUAAUCUAUUUAUGAUUAAAAUAUAUAUUUUUAAAAUGAUUAAGAAGUUUAUCUUUUGUGUGAAUAAAAUAUUAUUAAAAUUAAGUAUAAUUAUACAUGUUUAUAAAGUAAUUAUUUAAAAAAAAUUAUAAUUGAUGUAAAAAUUUUAAAAUCAAAUAAAUUUUAAAUUCAAAUGAAGUAUAAAUUCAAAAAUUAUUUAUAUAUUUAUAAUAUCAAAUUAAUGAAAAAAAACUUACUAAUAAAUAAAUAAAAAGCAACUCCAAACAUGCUUUUUUUUGUUUUACUUAUUUUAAAAAAAAUAUUAAUUCAACAAAACAUAUUUUUUUAUUAACUCAACCAAACAUGUUUUUUUUUUUUAGAACAAAAACUAUUUUUCAGAAUUCAGUUCCCAAACACAAUUUUUUUUUUUGAAUACGCAAAAAAUUGUUCUUAAAAACUGUUCUCAAAAAUUGUUUUCCUGAACAGUUUUCGAAAACACCAACCAAACAGGCCUUAGUCAUCCAUGUACAAAACAUUUGUUUCGAUUUGUGAAAGACAUUUUGGAUAUAAGAAAACAUUGUACAUCAAAUAAGGACCCAUUGUUAUGUUCGCCCUAAUAUAAAAUUCCAAAAUCUUCGUGUUGGUAUCAACGCAUUGGAAUUGUGAUAUAUAUAAAAUUGAAAACAAAUGGUGUGACAUGAGUAAGAUGGAAACAAAAGAGAAAAUUGUAAGCUUAUAAUAUUAAGGAAAUUUGGAAUUAAUUUUAAAAUAAAAUGUGUCAUUAAUUAUUUGACUAGUUUUUUGUAUAUGACAUGGAGGGUUGUUUCUCAACGUAACGUCGUAACACAUUGCUUAUUAAUAGGAUAUGUGAAUAUUAGUUGUGGAUUAACACCUAGAGCCAGCUUGAGGUUGAUUGUGGUGUUAUAAAACUUUCAAAAAAAGACUCAUAAAUGUAGUCUUCCUCUAUUUUAUCUUUUUCUUAAUUUUUCUAAUAAAUAUAUAGACCACAUUACAAAUCAUGUAACAAUACAAUCUCCUACAUAGUUUAAUCAAUGUAAGUCAUAUGCCGAAAAAAAAUCAAUACUCCUAGUAUAGGAAAUAAUGACUUAUUCAUAAAUACGAAUCUUAUGCUAUAAUUAAAUCAAAAAUAGAAAUUAAAGAAUAAUAAAGAGACGAAAAAAUACAUGAAUAUAAGGUGAAAAAUCUUUAAGGAGAUAAAGAACUAUGAACCAAUCUUAAUUAAUUACAACAUCUAUUAUAAAGGAAAUGUCUGGUUCAAGAUUUUACUUAAUAUACGGCUUCCAAUUCUCUCCAAGGCCAUUUGUUUAGUAUUUUAGGGAUCUUAACUUUCCACCGUCUCCAUGUGAAACUUUUUUGGAACCCCUUCAAACCUGAUUUUGGACUCUUUUUGAUAUCCACAGAAAAAUACAUUUAACCAAAAUGAGAGUAUGAACAAAAAUAAUGGAAUUAAAUGGUAGUAAAUAAAUCUAUUAAAUAUAUAUAUAAAAAAUGUAUAUAAAAUUACUUCAUCAAGAUGUGAAUACAAAGUAAACACCAUGAAUGGUCUUCCCAUCCCUGGAGAAUUAAGUGAAAUCAUCAAAUAGUGGAUGUUGUAAAACUUCCUUUCAUCAAAUAGUGGCCGUUCAUUUUCCAGUUUAUUUUUUUAUUAUAUUUUUAAAAAUAAAUCAUUUGAAAUGUCGUGUAAGGAGUAACUCAAGCAUUUGAAAAUAAUAUAUAUUGGACUUUGUAGGUUGAUCAUCAAAUGUGUAUCAUAAGGUUUAAGCGGUUAGAUUUGUAUCUCGAUUGUUGAAAGUGUACAAUAAAGUUUAAAUCAUCAAUGAUGAUGAUGCAAGUAAUGGAAUUAAGUAUAAAAAAAUAAAAUUAAGGUAACAGUGACAAAAUCAAAGUAUAAAAUAAUGAGACAAAAUUCGGUAUAAAGAAAUGAAAUUAUAAUAUAGACGUUGAUUAUUUGUGCUUUUUAAUACUUAUCAUCGAUUCAGUGUUACAGAGGGGCCUACGAUGAUUAAAAGAGGAGGAUUGAAAGGCUCAGGUAUAUAUACAUGUCCAAAGCAUCAGAAUGUGCAUAGCUUACCAUCUAAUGGCAAGAAAAAACUCUUUUCUCUGGUUUCUCCUUCUUAGUCUCAUCUGCACUCUGGUCUGUACCCACAGUACUGCAGCAGCUUCGGAGGAUGAUGGUCGAAAAGCAAUAUACACCCAUCUCUCUUUUGUUUGUUCUUAAUGGUCUGGUCAUUACAUGAAGCAUGAAGCAUGGGCCAUGGCCUAAUAAUUUUUACAUGCAUGCAUGGCAGAAAAAUUAAGAUUAAUCUUGUGUUGAAAAUCAUGGUUGAGUAGUGUUAAUAAACUGGAUUUGCACCAAAAAUAUUGUGGAUGCAGGAGUAUAUUGUGUAAAUGGGUGCCAAGCCUGCCGGAUUUCUCGGUAUCUGCCAUUCACACUGACAUGCUGCAGCAAGUCUUUGGCAGGCCAGUAUUCACUUUUUUUUUUCCCUAAUUUUUUUAUUACAUAUAUGGUACCUAAUUUUCCCCAUGGAAUGCCUUUCAGCAGUAGGGCAUCAAGUUCUCUGGUCCGCAGUUAAAAAAGGAGUUUCAAUGGAUUCGUAGCGAAACUAACAGAAGAGGAAAUGCAGCAAAUAAAGGGUGGGUGGAAUUCAUCUUUCUGCAAUUAAUUGAAUAUUUCGGAAGUAAUUAACUCGGGCAUGUUACAUAUGGCUAACAAAUAAACUGUAACUUUGGAGUUUCAGGACUGGACGGGGUAGUCUCGAUUUUCCCUAACGAAAAGAAACAGCUCCACACAACAAGGUCGUGGGAUUUCGUGGGGUUUCCCCAACAAGUUAUAAGAACUAGUGUUGAAAACGACAUAAUCAUAGGAGUGUUAGACAGUGUAAUAUGGCCACAGUCUGACAGCUUCGAUGACGAAGGAUUUGGUCCACCGCCUAGCAAAUGGACGGGGACUUGCCAAGGCUUUUCCAAUUUCACUUGCAACAAGUAAAUCUUAUUGACAGAGUGUUUAAAUACCCUGCUAUAGUUAAAAGUUCUAAAAGUUGAAAGACUAUAUAUCCUUAACAAAAGUUUCAAUUAAUGUUAUUGCAGUAAAAUUAUUGGAGCCAAGUACUAUCGGAGCAAUGGACAAUUUAGCAAAGAAGAUUUGCAAUCCCCAAGAGAUUCAGACGGCCACGGGACACACACUGCAUCCACUGCAGCUGGGGGCCUAGUUAACAUGGCAAGUCUCAUGGGCUUUGGCUUAGGGACUGCUCGGGGCGGGGUUCCAUCAGCUCGGAUAGCUGUGUAUAAGAUAUGAUGGUCUGAUGGCUGUUUUGAUGCUGAUAUUCUCGCAGCAUUUGAUGAUGCAGUUGCUGAUGGGGUUGAUAUAAUAUCUAUUUCAGUUGGGGUAAAACUCCCACAAAUUAUUUUGAAGAUCCAAUUGAAAUUGGAGCUUUUCACGCAAUGAAAAAACGGAUACUAACAUCAGCUUCUGCUGGUAACCAUGGACCUCAUCUUGCUUCCAUCACAAAUUUCUUGCCUUAGUCUCUUUCCGUGGCUGCUAGCACCAUAGACCGGGAUUUCUUUACCAAGGUGCAACUAGGCGACAAUAACGUUUUUGAGGUGAGUAAGCUUCAUGGCAGUUCCUUUGCUUACACUUCGAACUAAUAACCAUCACACACAAAUUUUUCAUUUAUUAAAGUUCCAACCAUGUGAAACUGAUUUUUGGAGGUUACAUCAUUGCUCUUUGUGUAGGGAGUUUCAAUAAACACAUUUGAGCUCAAUGACAUGUAUCCUUCCAUUUAUGGUGGAGAUUCCCCGAAUACUGCAGGAGGUAUUAGUGGGAACAGAUCUAGGUACUUAUUAAAGAUCAAAGAAAAAGAGUCAAUGGAUAAUGAAAGCCGUAAGUUAGAAAUCCUGAAUUUUAAAGAGUGUGUGAUAUAUUACAAGACUUUCAUUACUGAAAUGCAGGUUUUGCGAAAUAAACUCGAUGAACCCAAAUUUAGUGAAGGGUAAAAUUGUCCUUUGCAUUGGGCUGGAUAGAGCUGGGCCUAAAGAUGCAUUGAGUGCGUUCUUGGCAGGUGCCGUUGGGACUGUGAUAGCGGAUGGACUCCCCAAAGAUUUCAGCCUCAUUUUUCCCUUGCCUACAUCUCGCCUUACUGCAGGAGAUGGUAAUAGAACUGCCAAGCUACUACAUCAGCUCAACAAGGUAUCAAUUAACACAUCUUCCUACUUUUAUUUGGAGAUGAUUGUAAAUAAUAUAAAUGAUAUGCUAAGGAUUUGUACGGCAUAUAUAUACUCAGUCUUAGUCUUACUACAUUUAAACAGUAACCCAACUGCAUCGAUAUUGAAGAGUAUUGAGGUUAAUGACACAUUGGCCCCAUAUGGACCCUCCUUCUCAUCAAGGGAUCCAAACCCAAUUACACACAAUUGUGGACCCGUUUUUUUCACCUACGUCCCCACUCAAUCGGCGAGACUUGCUUUUAUUUGUGAAAAAUUAUUUUUGGAAAAGUCGGAGUCGCCACUUAUUUUAUUUUAUUUUAAAGGAAAAAUAAAAUAAGAAAUAAAACCCUAAAAAAAAUUACUCCAAAGUUUUUGGAAAAACGUGUCUUUGAAAAAACUUGAGUCUGGAUUUGGGGAUCAAGUUACUUAUUAGGAAGGUACCUCUAAAAGGUAGCACCCCUCUAAGCCCUAUAAAGGUCUCUACUAACUAAGUUAAGGGAGAUAAGACAAUUAAUUGAUUAAUUGAGGGUACCUAGGUAGACUAAGGUGAUUUCAAAAAAUAGUAUGUCAAACAAAAUCAAAUCACAAUAAAGAAAAGUUAAGAUGCGUACCUGAAUGGCUUCUUAAGCGCCAUUAAAAGACAUCAAAGGUUAGUUUGAAAAUAUGACAUAUAACAUGCAUUUUUAUCAAAGAUGAUCAAACAAGCAUCAAGGCAAUCAAAUAUGACAUCAAACAUGGACAUGACUCAUGAUAACAUACACAUUCAUAAAAUUUUAGAGUUGGAGGGUAGAAAGAGUGUACCUGAUUAGCGAGCAUCCACACGUCUAUGGAAAACUAGGUUAGCUUAAUAACAGGUAUAAACACUUCUCAUAUAUAUCAUAAAGAAUAAUUAAAAUCAACCAAAUAUCAAACAAUCCCCUCAUUUGAAUCAAUAUUAGAGAAGAUAUCAAGAAUGUCGGACCCCCCACCAAGGUCCAAAUUGCUUUUGCACGAAUUGAUUCAAUUAUUCCUAUUAUUUAGAACCAUGAAGUUUAUUCGUGCUUGAGGAAAAUCGAGAAAAUCAAGAAAAUGGUUGAAAGUCAAAAAAAAUAGUGAAAGUGCAUGCCAAGAGGAAAAAUGGCAGCAAAAGAUUAUUGAAAUCUAGAUUUUAUUGUUUAAAGAAGAUCCGAAGAUGAUUCUCUAAAAUCAGAGUUAUUUGGAUGAAGAUGAUUUUGAAGACACAAUUCAUAACAGGUGAAAUCACGAGGAAUAUGAGAGGGGUGGAAAAAGGAAGAGGGUAGUGUGCACCAGAGUGGCCAUGUCGGAGCGAGGCUUGGGGGUUUAGCUGUAGCUAGAUUGCUGAUGGUUGUUUGAAGAGGCCUCUGUACAUUGCUGGCAUGUCUGGAGAAGAGCUGGCCAUAUCCAUUUCAGAGCAUGUGCUCACUUGCUGUCAAAGCGAUCGCCAUGGUCGGGACACAUGGGCAACAUAUAAUGAAAAAGAGGCCACAGUUGCUGUUUACAGAACCCAUGAUAAAACUUUUAUGCAGGUCAUGAGGUAAAAAUGUUGGUACAUAAUUGAAAUCCUCCAGCAGUUUCUGUGCAACUUCUUCCUGUUCACUUGCAUCUAUUUCAACCUUGAGAGACCCCACAUAAAUGACCUCUGUUUCAGGGGAGAAACCAUCCUUUAAAUGCAAUAGAAAGGCAUCUUCAUCUAAACUGAAGCACCAUUUGGCAGUCACUUUAUCUCUUUCAAGAUGCAGCCAUGGUAUUCUCUGAUUUAUCUACAGCCAUGAUGCUUUGAAAAUCCGUCGUGAGUCUUCUCAAAAAUCUGGUGAAGCCCCUCUUCAAAAAGCUGUGUUGUCCCCCUGAAAAAUCUGGUCAUUCAUUCUUUUCAAGAAAAAGGCCAUACUUCCUCUUUCAAGAUCUUCAUUCCCCAUAUUUCUGAAUUUAAAUUCCAGAAUCUCAUACGAAAAUUGAUUGGCUGCAGAUAUUUCUGACAGAUGGCUUGACUCCAACAUGUAAUAACUUUCUAUGAAUUCUGGGUUCACAUCUGGUCUUAGAAAAGUGUAGAAAAAUUCUCUUAUAUUAACAUUUGAAUUCUGUUUCUAUUGUCAACUUGCUUACAUUCAAUUUUCUUCAACUGAAUGCUCGCAUCUUAAUUGAUUUUCAGAUGUCCAGUUUACUGAAUAACUCCUCAUUCUUCAGGCGUAUCAAAUUGCCCAUAAUCAGAAAUUAACUCUCAGUCAAUAGGAUUCAGCAACUUAUUCGCGUGUGUGAAGGCAAAUGGGCAGUAAGCUAGAGACUUUCUGAUGGAUCCUGCAUUUCUGGACUUUCGAGAGUGGCUGCCAAGAAGACACCAAGCUCCACCAUCCUCUUGUUCCUCCUGAAGGCUUCUUCUCGACGGGCUUCUUCUUUGUUUUAUGAACCAGGACCUGAAUCUGGACAAAAAGGCAGCGUUUACACCAUUGACCGAAUUAAGACUUCCGACUUUUCAUUUUUUUUUUUUAUCUUGCACCAUCUAGUUGUGUUUUCUGAUCUUACACAAUUACUGUAGGAAGACGGACUUUUGCCACUUUCAGAAGGUACAUGAAACUCAGGUGUAACGCCCAUCAUCUUCCAAAUAACACAAAGAACAUCAGACGCUGUCUUCCAGGAUUUCUGUGGAGCUUUUCUUGGCUUCAACUUCAUUGUAUCUGCUUUAAAAUCGGUAUCCUUCCAGGACUUGAUAACGCAGGAACAGAAGAGAUGAUUUUUGGAAAUGAGAUUGCUACUGUUGAACCAAGAACUGCAGAUUCUGCUGUUGAACAGUCUUCCAUAGUCAGCCAACAAUGCGUGUCCCCUCAGGAAAACUUUAAAGAAUGAACUGGAGGUUGUUGACUUGAUGCUUAUAGGACUGCCUUUUCUGAUUCAUCUUGUACUUUUACAUCAUUUUCUGUUUCAUCAGUGAUCUGUCAGUAUCAGAAAGGAUAGAAAUGCAUUUUCGCUUUGAAGGAGGACCUUGGUUCUCAGCACCUCAACUCAGGCUAAGUUUGCCUGUUUGUUCCCAUGUUGAAGCAAGAAAAUAUAAAUGGCAGUAGUAUUUUCUAAGCAGCUCGGCAUGUCUUGCGUUUUGUAAUUGACUCUUGAAUUUCUCAGCCUUGAAGGAUGCUUUCGAGAUGCCCAUGGAGAACUUCAUCCUUUCCAGAAUAUACGAAAUGGAGUUGAGAGCAAGUUGAAUUCUUUUAGCUUCAUCUUUCUCAUGACAAGAAUAAACUCGAAUUCUUUAAAGUCAUUUGAAUGGGCUUGCUCAACUAUUGAUUUCUCAAAAGUUCCAUGUGGAAUGGUUUAAUGCAGAAAAUGCUAAAUUUUCCAACAUGAGGAAAAUGAGAAGAAAUGCAGGAUCUGGAAAUGAUUUGAAGCAGCUGAGGAACUCGAGCACAUAUACAUUCGGAGGUCAACAUUCUCUAAACCCAUGGUUAUUUGUCUAUUCUCUGACCUGAUGUUCAUAAGUUUCUUUAAUCACACAAUUUCAGAAACUUAAUCAAAAUAUGCGGUUUUCUGUCCAUUUUCUGGUUGCCUAUAGAGAGGUUUCUGAAUUGAUCGUCACUGGAUGAAACACAGGAGACUCAUCAAGGAUAUCUGCUGUGUGCAUUAAAUUGUUGUGCGUCUCCAAAUAAAAGUGUUCUUGGCCUCCUACUUGGAUUUCUCUUUCUAUGAUUUUCGCCAAACAUGUGAGAUAGCAAUUGGUCGAUGCUUGUGGUCCAUCUCUUUCCCUUAAAUACCCGAACUUGCCACCUCUGGUCUGUUUGAAGGUCCGUCAACUCACUAGCAAAGAGGAUAAUCAAAGUAACAUGAAUCACCUAAUUUGCAAUCACUAUUCAAGAGGUUGGUUUAGACUUCUUUGUGUCAUCUGGUGCUUUAGUAGAGCCAUUAAUUGUCGCUGCUGGGCAUUCUUAAUCUGAUCUCUAGUCGGGGGGUGGGGGGGGGGGGGGGGGGGGGGGCGGGGGAAAAAAAAUUUUUUUAAAAAGGCCCAAAAAAAUUUUUGGGGGAAUUUUAAAAUUUUUAAAACCCCUCUUUAAUUUUUUAAGGGGUUAAAAAAAAGAAAAAAAUAGGGGGGGCGGGGCCUUUUUAAAAAACGGGAAAAAUUUAGGGGUUUAAAAUUUCCCCUUUAAAAAACCAAAUUUUUUUUUCCCAAAAAAAAAAAAAAAAAAAAAGGUUUUUUUUCCCAAAAUUUUCAAUUUUAUUAAAAAACCCUUUUCNNNNNNNNNNNNNNNNNNNNNNNNNNNNNNNNNNNNNNNNNNNNNNNNNNNNNNNNNNNNNNNNNNNNNNNNNNNNNNNNNNNNNNNNNNNNNNNNNNNNGGGGGGGGGGGGGGGGGGCGCGUGGCAACAAUGAUUGUUAUAAAAGGACCAGAUUAAUCUUCUGGCUGACUUUGAAGCUUUCAGACGUCAUCUCUGAGUCUCUGAUGUGAUCAAAGCAAGGAAAAUAUCAUGGCAGUCGGGCUCUUUAUAAAAUCGGUGAUAGCUUAGGGGUUUGAAAUUGCACGCUUCAACAACCUACUAUCGUUUCUCCUAAAAAAUAAUAACAGUAACAGUGUCAUGUCUCCAAACAUCUCAAGUUCAAUCAGAGACCCUAUUCCAAUAUCUCCAAUCUGAAAUUUCUAAGUGCUCAUGCUCUGGAACCUGUGACUAUGCUACUUCAUCUCUGUUUGUGCGCGGACAAUUGAACUUUUCCUAUAAUUUUCUUUUCUGUUUUUCGAGAUUCUCCGUGCUGAAGGAGGCCUCAUGAUGAGUUAGAAUUGUCCUCUUUGGCAACGGCUCCCUUAAAAGAAACGGGAAGAAGAUCUGUAUCCCCAUUAAAAGCUCUACUAAUCCCAUAACAGUUUCAGAAUUCUGAACCAGUUGGUCUCUUAGCCGGACGAACAGAUGAAGUCUGUAUGUGAUUCCCAUUUAUUCAUCAAGAGCAAACUGAAGACUCUUGAUGUCAUAUCCCAAGCUUCAUCCCAUCCAAGUCCUUCAUCAUUCAUCAGUAAUCGCAUCAAUUCUGGAAUUGCACGGGUAGGAUGUGUAUCGUUCAACUGCACUGCUACCUUAUUGUGAAAUUCAGACCAUUGGCUUGAGCCCCCAUCUUUCCUCCUUGAAUCUGAAAAUAAUGUCCUGAAGUGAGGCAUUGCAUAGGAAAAAUUGUUGCUUUGGUUGCAAGAGCUUUCCAUUUUCUGUAGCAUCUCUAGGAUAUAGAACAACACAAAUCUGCUGAGCUCGAGAAUGAAGCUGUGCAGGAGCUUCAUAUUGCCCAUCACUAAAGUUGACCAUCUGCCCAGAAUUGCAGCAUUCUGCUCAGAAUUGCAGCAUUCUGCUCCCCUACAGCAUUCCUCAUACUAUUUUUGGUUGCUAGUAUUAAGCAAUACUGUUCAAUACUUGGAUUUAAAAAUGCAGCGUGAUUGGAUGAAAGAGUAGGCUUGUUGAUCACAGAAUCCAUUUGGCAGCCAAGCAUUAUCAGAAAAGAUAGGAAAUACUUCCCUAGUUCCUACUCUGUGAUACUUGCAAGUCAGACUCACAUCGUCUUGGAAGAACACGAUCUACAGGUUCCAAUAGCUGCAAAACAUAGACGAAAUCCCCUGCUGUGAUGGCCAUUACGUUUGCUGGAGAAUCCCAAAAAGCACUGCCUUUACCACUAAUCUUCGAACCACAACUUCAAAAGCAAAGUUGGAGAAUGUUACUUUCUGAAGCAACAGACACAGAGAAGCACUCAUAAAGAGGCAACAGUUGUUCUUUAGUAGAAAAUAUGGAUGCCAAAUUUGGGCUGCUUGUCAGUAAGUUCUGGAGAGAAGUCAAUCCAAACUGAACACUGCUUCUGUCCACUGAGGCAUUUGAUGCCACUCCUCAAAGGUCCUGUAGAGAAUAUUCAUUCAGAUCAAUAUCACCAUUGUGCAUGGCCUGACUAUAAGUGCUGGUGCCACCAUUGACAAAGGUUUGAUUGUAGGAACCUGCAAUGUGAUUGAUCAACCGAUUCUUUUCUGUAAAAUUGCCAUCCCAAUUAUAUAAUGUCUGACUCAGACCUCCAAGAUCAAUUAGAUUCAGAUUCUGAACCACCCCAUUGCAAUUCUGAGUUUCACGCCCACCAGGAAAACCCAAGAGUACUUGCCAAUUGAUUCUUCCUGACUUCAGAUAAUUUAGUUUAUGUCUUCUGUGAUUUCAUUUUUAUUUCCAAAUUGAUUUCUGCCAUCAAACUCUUGCAGUCUGCUGCCAUCCCUAUAAUCUUUUCUUUGUUGUAAGGGAUACGACAUGCAGGGCACCGAACCUCUGUUUCAUCCUCCUCAGCCAUGUUCAUUGUGUCACGCCAUCACCAAACACAUAUCUCACAACCACAUUUGCAUGGCUUCAAUUUGCUAGUCGGUCAAUUCCAUCUCUUCAGCACAGAGAGGACAAGUCUUUUCUCCUUCGUCACUCAUGGUUGUCACCAGAUACUGUUCAUCUAACUUUACCACUCUUGGUGGUACGCCUAAGAUUAUACAUCAACAUGUACGCAUCACCAGAUGAGUAUGUCUAUGAACCACUAACAAUACUACAUUCUGAAGAUUGUAGCUGACCAAUAUUUAUAUGAUUUCCAUUCAUGACACCAUUCAUUGGUUCAGUGGAAGACAGAUGAACAGAUGGCUCAGUUUGAACAGGUUUAGCAGCAGAACUUGAAGACCCCUCUCCAAAUGGAUGAUGACCCAGGUUUGAGACAUGCUCAUCAUCAAAUUCCCACCAUUGCCCUGUAUUCUCAUCUUUAAUAUGAGCUAUGUAAUGGCCACUGUUCACAGUAGUCCCCUCGUGAAUCAGCACAGCUGACAAGUCAUAUAUUAGUUCAAAAUCAGAAGGUUCAGACAACCUUUCUCUCAUAUCCAAUUCUCCAGGAAAACAGAAUGCAGAAGUGAUUAUCUUCUUUGUUGUAGUCUUUGGAAGGAAAACACAGCGCUUGAGCUGGAAAUUAAGGACAUAAGGCCGUGUGGGUAGCUUAAUGCUACGGAUGGCAUAAAACCAUUGGAUGAAUCAACAAAGUCAUUAAGUACAUUACUGAUCUCCGUGAAAACCCUUCUCCUUGCUUCUGUAGAGUGAACACAAGCUGCCACUAAAAAUUGACUAGCCCAGGUUGCUAGUUUAUGCAUCCAAUCAUCAUCAAUUUUUCUUUUUUUUCUUUGUUUUUUGGAACUUCUGGAAUAUGGAAGAAACCUAUGAAAAAUAUGGUGGGAUAUUCCAGUAGUGCAGUACACAAUAGGACCCCUUUCUCAAUUGUCAGGUGGCUCCCCAUUCUGCCUUCUCCUAUCUGCUGAAUCAAUCAAUCCGUCCUUGAGAAUAGCUCUAAGCCGUUUAGACCCAGGUACAGAUGAAAUUCUCUCCCAAGUUACAGUGUCCCUAAGCCAACACAAGCAGAUAACACAUUCACCAGUGUGAUCUCAUUCAGUUUCACGGACUGCCUUCAUGAGACAGUAUAAAUCAAUUUCUUCCUCAGAAAGUCCACACUGCACAUAUCCCGUAAUGAUGGCAUUCCAAGGGGGGCGACUUCUUACAAGAAACACCAUCAAAGAUUUUUCAAGCUUUCUUCACAUUCCCGCACUUGGAAUACAGAUCAUUGUUACCGCAUCGAGCAGGACCUCAUCAGCCGAAAUAAGCAUCCGGAAGACAAACUCGACAUCUCCACAAAAUCCCUUUCUUCCCCAUACACGUUUAUCAUUGCAGUCUGGAAAACCACAUUCCUUCUCAUUGGUAUUUCUUCAAACAACUCCCACGCUCCUCAAUCUCCCCUCAGUGUACAUACCAUGAAAUGAUCGAAUUUUGAGAAGCCACAUCUCUAAUCCCCAUAUGAAGAGCUCAUGGCCAUGUGACGGGUAGGAGGAAAAACAUAAACAAGUAUAGUGGAGAGUAGAGGAAACAAAGAGAGAACAAACAUGCGAGAUUGAAAUAAGAUAAAGCCACAUCUCAUGAUCUUUCAAUGGGCUCAGGCUAGUGGGGAAGAUCACAAACAGAUUUGGGACAAAAUAAGUACGCAACCAAUAUCAACAAAACAAUUUGUGGCCCUUUCCAUCCACACCAAUCAGCAGUACAUUAAAUAUUCAGAAACGAACACACGGAGAAAUCGAAUAUGGGUAAGAAUUCCAAGAGUAACAAGAAGCAUACUCGGACAGCCUUGGUUGCAAUUGCUCCUUUCCCGCUUCCUCUGUGCUUCUCCCAAAAAUCCCCCUCCCUCUUCUGUUCUGCCCCCACACUUUUAAAAUCCCUCUCUUGCGUCUUUGUAUCAGUUUUUUUUUGUUUUCCUUUUGUAACCGAUUCCACCAUGGAAAUAAUAUAUGUGCUAUCCCUCUAAAAACAAAAUCUCCUCUUUUUCAAAAUUCUGUUGAUUCUCCUUCCAAAUAGAUGGCGGCCCGUUCCUUAUGCCCAAAAAGCCAAAAAAUAUGAUUUAGAAAACUUGUAAUAAAAUGAAAUUAAAAUAAUAAAGAAAGUCAUACAAGUCACACAAGUCAUUUAGGUCAUGCAAUCAUGUAAGUCAUAUAAAAAGUGAGUCUAAAAGUACUUAAGUGGGCCUAAGUGAGCUUAAGUGGGCCUAAGUGAACUAAGCUCGAUGAAGUGUCUAAGUGGGCCUAAGACGUUUAGGAUAGUGCCUAAGUCUAAAUUAGAGCCGUCAAGGUCAUAAUGUGGAGUCGGAUAAACCCUUCAACCAAAGUCUCCAAAGUGGCUCAGAAAAUAUAAGUAGUAAUGAAUAGCAAUGGGCCACCAAGGAACUACUGUGGAGCACUGGAAGCGAACUUAAAGAUAUGUGCUAAAUGGAUAAAAUUGAGGGUCUACAACAACCUUCUCAAGGUAGUUUAUGCAAUUAUUCUUGAUUUUCUUCUCAUUUAUUUUAUUACAUUUUCAUUUCUAUAUCAUGUAAACCCAAUUCAACAUUUUCAUCUCCCAUCUGAGAAAGCAUUGUGGUUUUUCUUAAUCUAUGUUGAGAGCAGUUACACAUAUCUCAGGGCAAAACACCCCUGUUUCCUUAGUUCAUAGACUUUUCAGUAGCUUGACAUUCAUGAUGACUUUGUGAUCUUACUGCAUGCAGCCAGAUUUAACAGCCCCAGGCGACAUGGUCACCAAUUUUUCCCAUCUCCGAAGUACCUGGUGAUAAUCGAGUAGCGCAAUAUAACUGGCACGUCAAUGGCUUGCCCACAUGCUACUGGGGCAGCUGCCUACAUCAAGUCAUUUCACCCCACCUGGUCUCCUACUGCUAUUAAGUCUGCUCUUAUGACUAUUGGUAAUGUCUAAUUUUAUUCCUAACCUUUAAAAUUAUGAAAGGGUUGAUAAUAUGGAUCUCUGUUCUUUGUGUGUUUGUAGCUACUCCCAUGAGUGCUAAAAAAAAAAAUCCGGAAGCCAAAUUUGCAUAUGGUGCAGGCAAUAUAGAUCCUGGUCUGGUAUAUGAUGCCGAUGAGAUUGACUAUGUAAAAUUUUUGUGUGGGCAAGGUUAUAGUACUCGGGCUCUAUGGCCGGGGGUAAUUGUGUCUGUUCUACCGCUACAAAUGGAACCGUUUGAAAUCUAAAUUACCCUUCCUUUGCUCUUUCCAGCGUCACCAAGGAAUCCAUCACUGGCAUGUUCAGUAGGACUGUCACAAACAUUGGAUCAUCGGUGUCCACGUAUAAAGCAACUGUUAUAGGUGCUUCAGAGGGACUCGAAAUCCAAGUUGAACCAAGCAUUUUAUCAUUCACAUCCCUCAUGCAGAAGCUAUCCUUUGUGUUGAAGGUUGAAGGAAAGGUAGGUGACAACAUAGUCUCUGCUUCUUUGGUGUGGGAUGAUGGUGUACAUCAAGUGAGGACCCCCAUUGUUGUAUUAGCCCUCACAUAAAAUUCCAGAAUCCUGGUGUUCUUGUGGUACUAUCUAUAACAUUAAAAAUAAAUGAUGCGGCAAGUACAACAUUUUACUUGAUUUAAGAUCUUCAAUCUUGUUUAGCUGCUUUUCCACCAUCUUUAUAUGGAACUUUUUAAAAAUCUCUCCAAAUGUGACCUUGGGCUUUUCUUAAUAUCCACACAAGAAAACAUUUGAGUUUUUGAUAAGGAAAAUGAUAGUAUGGACAGAAACAACAUUGGAUCAACCCAGCUUGUGCAAAAGUUUCUCCCUUGAAAGAGAUUCUUGAGUUCAACACUCACAAAUUUUUUGUAGAAAGUACAAACACACCCUCAAAUAUCAUUGUCAUUAAUAAGAUAUCCCUCGAAUUGGAAUACAUGGAACCAAAUUAAACCAAUAUUAUCUUUAUACUAGAAAAGUUGGAAUUGGGCUUUGUUGUAACUUUUGUUAUAUUUUGUUAUUUUUAUUUUUGAAAAUAUUUACGAAAGUACCAUUGCUUUCCUUUCAUAUAUAGGAUGGGAUAAUGAUAAUUAUCAAUUAAAUGCAGGUCGAAAGAUGUGGUAUGGCAGCAACGUGUAUUGCGUUUGGAAAGCUCCUCUUUCCCGGCCAAAAAGGCUCAUUUUCCACAAUUUCAUGAAGCCUCUCUUUUUCCUUUACUUUGUUACUUUCAAAUUAGAACAAUUUACUUAGAUUAAGGCGGUAGGGAUGAAUCACCUGUGGGAGUGACCCAAAUUCUAAUUGCUACACCAAUCAACAUUGAUAGAAAAAGUGGUGACGUAUUAUGGGAAUCGUAAUCAACUGUCGGUGGGCUGACGCAACCUUCCCACCCUCCUUUUCUCCAACAACGUGAGUCACAUGCUUGAGACCUUCUAUGGCAAAACAAUUAUAUCAUGCACCUUUGGAUGAUAUAAAACAAUUAUAUAAAAGAAUUAUUUUAUAUCUAACACGUACCUUUGGAUGCUAAAGAAAUUUUAUGUCAGAUACAUGUUUUAGUGGUAAUCAAAGGCACAAAAAAGCACACUUAUGGGAAUAUAAAAUUUAUUUAAAUAAUUGGAGUGAGAAAAAAAAUGAAAAAUAUUUCUCUGCUAGAAAUUAGGAUCCAACAUUGUUAAAUAGGAUUUUGAGAUGGUAAUUUUACAAAAAAAGUUAGUAAUAAUAUCCUAAAAAUAAAUUGAAGGGUAUUAAUAAUGGGAUGAAAUUCUAAAGAUGAAGUCUAUUGAUGCUCUCUCUCUCUCUUUGUAUAGUCUUCGAGCUUUAUUCAUAACUUUUAACAAAAUUCUUCCUCAAAAGAAGCUUAUGAAGCGACAAUAAUAAUAAAAAAGAUUGAAUUAUUGGAAGAGAUGUAAAGUAGAUGUUGAAUAUAACUUUAACAAAAUUCUUCCUCAAAAGGAGCGACAAUAAUAAUAAAAAAGAUUGAAUUAUUGGAAGGGAUGUAAUGGGAUGUUGAUAAUGGGAUGUUGAUGGGCAUAUCUUUUAAUGAAAAAAAGUCUUUGGUAUUAUGGGGGAUGACUGGUGAGUCUUUUGAUUUAUCCGUGCAUUGCUCUUUAUUCUUUUAUCUUUUUAAAUACAAAUUAUUGGAAAUGUCCUGGAAGGUGUAACAUUAGAUUAAAAGAGAAAAAGGAUUGGGAGGCUCAUGUGUAUAUAUGUAUAGAUGUCCAAGCACCACGAAGCGCAUAGCUUACCAUCAUCUAAUGGCAAGACAAAAAAACUCUUCUCUGUGGUUUCUCCUUCUCAGUCUCAUCUGCAGUCUGCUCAGUACCCACAGUACUGCAGCAGCUUCCGAGGAUGAUGUUCGAAAGGCAAGAAACACCCAUCUCUCUCUUGCUUUUUCUUAAUUAAUGGCUUGGUCAAUAUUCCAUGAACCAUACAUGCAUGCAUGGCGGAAAAAUUAAGAUUAAUCUUGCGCUGAAAAUCAUGCUUGAGUAGUGUUAAUAAACUGGAUUUGCACCCAACAUAUAUAUUAUGGAUGCAGGAGUAUAUUGUGUACAUGGGUGCCAAGCCUGCCGGAGAUUUCUCGGCGUCUGCCAUUCACACCAACAUGCUGGAGCAAGUCUUUGGCAGGUCAGUAUUCACCUUUUGUUUUUUUUUCUAUUUUUCUAUUUUUGUUUUUUUAUUUGUUUUAUUUAUUACAUAUAUGGUACCUAAUUUUCCCCAUGGAAUGCCUUUUCAGCGGUAGGGCAUCAAGUUCUUUAGUCCGCAGUUACAAAAGGAGUUUCAAUGGAUUUGUAGCAAAGCUAACAGAGGAUGAAAUGCAGCAAAUGAAAGGUGCGUGGGUGGGUUUAAAUCUUUCUGUAAUUGAAGUAACUCAUGUGUGUAAUGGCUACAAAAUUAACUGUAACUUUGGAGUUUCAGGCAUGGACGGGGUGGUCUCGGUUUUCCCUAGCGAAAAGAAACAGCUCCACACAACUAGGUCGUGGGAUUUCGUGGGGUUUCCCCGACAAGUUAAAAGAACAAGUUUUGAAAGCGACAUUAUCAUAGGAGUGCUUGACGGUGGAAUAUGGCCAGAGUCUGACAGCUUCGAUGAUAAAGGAUUUGGCCCACCGCCAAGGAAAUGGAAGGGCACUUGCCAAGGGUUUUCCAAUUUCACUUGCAACAAGUAAAUCUCACUCGCAACAGAGUGUCUAAAUACCCUGUUAAAAAAGUUUAAAUAUAUCCUAUCCUUGUUCCUUAACAAAACUUUCCACCGAUGUUAUUGCAGUAAAAUUAUUGGAGCCAAGUACUAUAAGAGCGAUAGAAAAUUUAGCCCAGAAGAUUUGCAAUCCCCAAGAGAUUCAGACGGCCACGGGACACACACUGCAUCCACUGCAGCUGGGGGCCUAGUCAACAUGGCAAGUCUCAUGGGCUUUGGCUUAGGAACUGCUCGGGGCGGAGUUCCAUCAGCUCGGAUAGCAGUGUAUAAGAUAUGUUGGUCUGAUGGCUGUGAUGAUGCUGAUAUUCUCGCAGCAUUUGAUGAUGCAAUUGCUGAUGGGGUUGAUAUAAUCUCUUAUUCACUUGGGAAUCCCCCUUCCCGGGAUUAUUUUAAAGAUACUGCUGCAAUCGGUGCUUUUCAUGCAAUGAAAAAUGGGAUACUAACAUCAACUUCUGCUGGUAACGAUGGACCUCGCCUUGUUUCCGUCGUAAAUGUCGCGCCAUGGUCUCUUUCCGUGGCUGCUAGCACCAUAGAUCGGAAGUUCUUGACCGAGGUGCAACUAGGUGACAAGAAGGUUUAUAAGGUGAGUAAACUUGCUCACACUUUGGACUAAUAACCAUCACAUUCAAAUAUCAUUUAUUAAAGAAAUUAGAUUUCAACUACGUGGAUCUGAUUUUUGGAGGUGGAGGUUAUAUCAUUGCCCUUUGUGUAGGGAUUUUCGAUAAACGCAUUUGAGCCCAAUGGCAUGUAUCCUUUGAUUUAUGGUGGGGAUGCCCCGAAUACUAGAGGAGGUUUUAGAGGGAACACAUCCAGGUACUUAUUAUUAAAGAAUGAAAAAUAAUUAAUUGAAAAUGAAAACCGUACGUUAGAAAUCCUGAAUUUUAAAGUGUGUGAUAGAUUACAGGACUUUCAUCACUGAAAUGCAGGUUUUGCGAAAUAAACUCAUUGAACCCAAAUUUAGUGAAGGGUAAAAUUGUCCUUUGCAUUGGGCUUGGCGCUGGGUUUAAAGAAGCAUGGAGUGCAUUCUUGGCAGGUGCCGUUGGGACUGUGAUAGUGGAUGGACUCCGACUCCCCAAAGAUUCCAGCAAUAUUUAUCCCUUGCCUGCAUCUCGCCUUAGUGCAGGAGAUGGUAAAAGAAUUGCCUACUACAUCAGCUCAACAAGGUAUCGAUUAACACAGCUUCCUACUUUUAUUUGGAGAUGACUGUAAAUUAUACAAGUGAUAUGCUUUAGAAUUUGUACGGCAUAUAUGUACUCAGUCUUAGUCUUACUACAUUUAAACAGUAACCCAACUGCAUCGAUUUUGAAGAGUAUUGAGGUUAAGGACACAUUGGCCCCAUAUGUACCCUCCUUCUCAUCAAGGGGUCCAAACAAUAUUACACACGACCUUCUCAAGGUAGCUUAUGCCAUUAUUCUUGAUUUUCUUCUCAUUUAUCCCAUGACAUGUUCAUCUCUAUAUCAUGUAAACCCAACUCAACAUUUUCACCUCCCAUUUGAGAAAACACAGGGGUUUUUUUCUUAAUCUAUGUUGAGAACGGUUACGCAUACCUCAGACCAAAUCACCCUUUUCCUUAGUUCAUAAAGACUUUCUAGAAGCUUGACAUUCAUGAUGACUUUGUGAUCUUACUGCAUGCAGCCAGAUUUAACAGCCCCAGGUGUACACAUUCUGGCUGCCUGGUCACCAAUUUCUCCAAUCUCUCAAAUGAGUGGUGAUAAUCGAGUAGCGCAAUACAAUAUAUUAAGCGGCACGUCAAUGGCUUGUCCACAUGCUACUGGGGCAGCUGCCUACAUCAAGUCAUUUCACCCCACCUGGUCUCCUGCUGCUAUUAAGUCUGCUCUUAUGACUACUGGUAAUGACUGAAUUUUAUUCCCGGCCUUUCAAAUUAUGAAAGAGGUGAUAGUAAUGGAUUUUAGUCCUUUGUGUGUUUUGUAAGCAGCUACUCCCAUGAGCGCUAGAAAAAAUCCGGAAGCCGAAUUUGCAUAUGGUGCAGGCAAUAUUGAUCCUGUAAGGGCUGUGCACCCUGGUUUAGUGUAUGAUGCCGAUGAGAUUGACUUUGUAAAUUUUUUGUGUGGAGAAGGCUAUAGUAUUCAGACUCUACGGAAAGUCACCGGGGAUCAUAGUGUCUGUUCGAAAGCUACGAAUGGAGCCGUUUGGGAUCUAAAUUACCCGUCCUUUGCUCUUUCCAUCCCCUACAAAGAAUCAAUCGCUCGCACGUUCAAAAGGAGUGUCACAAAUGUUGGAUUACCAGUAUCCACAUAUAAAGCAACUGUUAUUGGUGCCCCAAAGGGACUCAAAAUCAACGUUAAACCAAACAUUUUAUCAUUCACAUCCAUCGGGCAGAAACUAUCUUUUGUGUUGAAGGUUGAAGGACGUAUAGUUAAAGACAUGGUCUCUGCUUCGUUAGUGUGGGAUGACGGUUUACAUAAAGUGAGGUCCCCCAUUAUUGUGUAUGCAGUCCAAUAAAAUUCCAAAAGCCUGGUGUUUUGUACCAGAGGCAUCGGAAUUGUGGUAUCUAUCACGUUGAACUAAAUGAUGUGGUAUCUACAUAAGAUGGAAAUAAAUGAUAAUAUUUAGUAUUGGUUGUAUUACCUGUCCAUACGAGCUAUUAGAUCUAGCUCUAAUAGAUCUAAUACCCUUUACAUAUGAAGGUUCGGUCUCAAUACCCUUCUUUCUCCUCUCCCAGCCACUUUUCUCCUAGGCGGCCAGGCCCAUCCUUUCUUUUUGCUCUCCCUAGGCACUUUUCUCCGGGGCCCACCGCACCUUUAUGUGAUACUUUAAGGACGUAGCUUUAUCAUGGUUGAAAUUAUUGCCAAAACAUAUAUAUUUAAAUAGUAGUCAAAUAAAAAUUUCAUAAUUAAUCUAAUUUUAUUCAAAUAUACACUUAAAUAAUAGUCAAAUAAGAACUCCAUGGUUAUUUUCUUUUAAAAAAAAAUCUUUUAUGUAACAAGUUAUUGUUGAAAGUACAUGUAUCAAGUUUCAUGCCUUUUUUUGUUUCUCUUUAUUUUAUUAAUUCAUUAUUUUAAAAAUAUUUUUAUAUAUUUUAAAAUUUUUUCUACAAAUGUACUUACGUAGAAAAAUUGAAAUUAAUUAUAGUUAAAUAUAUUUGUACCAAUCUUCAAGAGGAGUGAAUUAAAUUAAUCUUUAAACAAAUCAACAUACCAUGAAAAUAACCAAAAAAUAUUUUAAAAGAACUUUUGGAAAUAAUUUUUUUUCUAAUUUGGAAAAAAAUUAUAAUUAAAUUUGAAUAAAAAUUAUUUCAUUAAAAAUGUUGUCAUGUGUGAUGUAUCGGACACUCAUGUACUAAGGGGUUUUGGCAUUUUUUUGGUUUCCUUGUCAUGAUUAUUUAUUAAUUUGUAAUUUAAAAAUUCUUUUUAUAAUUUUUUUUACUCUUAAAAGUUAAGAUAAAAGACUCAUACCUCAAUUUUGUUUAUGCACUCUGUAAACAAUACAUUUGUAUUGAUUUUAUGACAUAGGUAUAAAACAUUUUGUUGUGAAUAUGUUACAAAAUACAUAAAAAAGUGUAGUCCUAUAAAUUUAUUUUAAGAUGAUUUUACUUAAUUCUUCAAAAAUGGAAAGACCAUGGUAUUUUCUUUGUAUUCACAAUUAAAAAGAGUGCAUAGGACCCAUGUAAAAGGGAAUACAUUCUCUAUUUUAAAGGAAUGAGUUUCUUCUCCCACACCCAAGAGAAUUUGAUAAUGCGGAAUAAUUUUUACUUGUCAUCCAUGUACAAAACAUUUGUUUCGAUUUGUGAAAGACAUUUUGGGUAUAAGAAAACAAUGUACACCAAAUAAGGACCAUUGUUAUGUUUGCUCUAAUAUAAAAUUCCAAAAUCUUUGUGUUGGUGUGAUAUAAAAUUGCGAUAUCUAUAAAAUUGAAAAUAAAUGUUGUGAUAUAAGUAAGAUGGAAACAAAAGAGAAAAUUGUAAGCCUUUAAUAUUAAGGAAAUUUGGAAUUAAUUUUAAAAUAAAAUGUGUGUCAUUAAUUAUUUGACUAGUUUUUUGUAUAUGGCACGGAGGGGUUGUUUCUCAAUGUAAUACAUUAGUUAUUAAUAGGACAUGUGAAUAUUAGUUGUGGAUUAACACAGCUCCAGGUUGAUAGUGGUAUUAUAAAACUUUCAAAAAAUGACUCAUAAAUGUAGUUUUCCUCUAUUUUAUAUUUUUCUUAAUUUUUCUAAUAAAUAUAUAGACCACAUUACAAAUCAUGUAACAAUACAAUCUCCUACAUAGUUUAAUCAAUGUAAGUCAUAUGCUGAAAAAAAAAUCAAUACUCCUAGUAUAGGAAAUAAUGACUUAUUCAUAAAUAUGAAUCUUAUGCUAUAAUUAAAUCAAAAAUAGAAAUUAAAGAAUAAUAAAGAGACGAAAAAAACACAUGAAUAUAAGGUGAAAAAUCUUUAAGGAGACAAAGAACCAUGGACCAAUCUUAAUUAAUCACAAUAUCUACUAUAAAGGAAAUGUCUGGUUCAAGAUUUUACUUAAUAUACAGCUUCCAAUCCUCUCCAAGGCCAUUUGUUUAGUAUUUUAGGGAUCUUAGCUUUCCACCGUCUCCAUGUGGAACUUUUUUGGAACCCUUUCAAAUAUGAUUUUAGACUCUUUUUGAUAUCCACAGAAAAAUACAUUUAACCGAAACGAGAGUAUGGACAAAAAUAAUGGAAUUAAUGAGUAGUAAAUAAAUCUAUUAAAUAUAUACAAAAAAUGUAUAUAAAAUUAUUUCAUCAAGAUGUUUUCCAUUCUUGGAGAAUUAAGUAAAAUCAUCAAAUAGUGGGUGUUGUAAAAUUUCCUUUCAUCAAAUAGUGGCCUUUCAUUUUUCAGUUUAUAUUUUUAUUAUAUUUUUAAAAAUAAAUCAUUUGAAAUGUCGUGUAAGGAGUAACUCAAGCAUUUGAAAAUAAUGUAUAUUGGACUAUGUAGGUUGAUCAUCAAAUGUGUAUCAUAAGGUUUAAGCAGUUGCAUUUGUAUCUCAAUUGUUGAAAGUGUACAAUAAAGUUUAAAUCAUCAAAGAUGAUGAUGCAAGUAAUAUAAUUAAGUAUAGAUCAAUAAAAUUAAGGUAAAAAACAAUAAAAUCAAAGUGUAAAAUAAUGAGACAAAAUUCGGUAUAAAGAAAUGAAAUUAUAAUUCAAACGUGAUACAACUUGAUUAAUUGUGCUUUUUAAUACUUAUCAUCGAUUUAGUAUUAGAGAGGGGCCUACGAUGAUUAAAAGAGGAGGAUUGAAAGGCUCAGGUAUAUAUACAUGUCCAAAGCACCAGAAUGUGGUCCAUCUAAUGGCAAGAAAAAACUUUUUUCUCUGGUUUCUCCUUCUCAGUCUCAUUUGCACUUUGUUCUGUACCCACAGUACUACAGCAAUAUAGAUCCUGUGAAGGCUGUAGAUCCUGGUCUGGUAUAUGAUGUCGAUGAGAUUGACUAUGUAAAAUUUUUGUGUGGGCAAGGUUAUAGUACUCGGGCUCUAUGGCGUCACUGGGGGUAAUUGUGUCUGUUCUGCCGCUACAAAUGGAACCGUCUGGAAUCUAAAUUACCCUUCCUUUGCUCUUUCCAGCUUCACCAAGGAAUCUGUCACUGGAAUGCAUGGAACCAAAUUAAACCAAUAUUAUCUUUAUACUAGAAAAGCUGGAAUUGGGCUUUGUUGUAACUUCUGUUAUAUUUUUUAAAAUAUUUACGAAAGUACCAUUGCUUUCCUUUCAUAUAUAGGAUGGGAUAAUGGUAAUUAUCAAUUAAAUGCAGGUCGAAAGAUGUAGUAUGACAGCAACGUGUAUUGUUGCCAUUAUGCCACCUAUCAUGAUUUCAUAUAUAGGAAGGCAUCUUCCACAAUUUCAUUGAGCCUCUCUUUUUCCUUUACUUUGUUACUUUCAAAUUAGAACAAUUUACUUGAAUUCAGGCAAUAUGGAUAAAUCACCCGUGGGAGUGACCCAAAUUCUAAUUGCUACACCCGUCAACAUUGACGGAAAAAAUGGUGACGUAUUAUGGGAAUCGUAAUCAACUGUCGGUGGGCUGACGCAACCUUCCCACCCCCCUUUCCUCCAACACGUGAGUCACAUGCUUGAGACCUUCAAUGGCAAAACAAUUAUAUCAUGCACCUUUGGAUGAUAUAAAACAAUUAUAUAAAAGAAUUAUUUUAUAUCUAACACGUACCUUUGGAUGCUAAAGAAAUUUUAUGUCAGAUACAUGUUUUAGUGGUAUUCAAAGGCACAAAAAAGCACAAUUUAUGGGAAUAUAAAAUUUAUUUAAAUAAUUGGAGUGAGAAAAAAAAUGAAAAAUAUUUCUCUGCUAGAAAUUAGGAUUCAACAUUGUUAAAUAGGAUUUUCAGAUGGUAAUUUUACAAAAAAAAGUUGGUAAUAAUACCCUAAAAAUAAAUUGAAGGGCAUUAAUAAUGGGAUGAAAUUCUAAAGAUGAAGUCUAAUGUAAUGAUUGAUUAGGGGUCUCCAAAAAGCCCGCGGCCCGCGGCCCGCUUUAGGCCCGGCCCGGCCCGACGGGCUAAAGCCCGGCCCAAGCCCGCUAGGCCCAAGCCCGGCCCGAGCCCGUUUAUGGGCUGGUCGGGCCGCGGGCCUGGCCCGUAGGCCCGCCCUUAGGCCCGCCUUUAAUUUUUUUUUAAAAAAUAAUAUACUAUAUUUUUAUAUAUAUAUAACUAACUCAUUUUAUAAGUACAAAAGAAAUGUAGCUCAGUUGGUUAGAGCCUUGAAAUUUAAGCUUGAGGGGAGGGGUUCGAAUUCCCUCCUCUUCCUUCCUUUAUUUAAAAGCCAUUUUGGCUUAUUUAAAAAAGCCCGCGGCCCGGCUCGCUGGCCCGGCCCACCCAGCCCGCCCCCCAGCCCGCUAGCCCGCGGGCUCAUAGGCCGGGCCGCGGGCCUAGCAUUUUAGCUCGGCCCGGCCCGGCCCGGCCCGACCCGUUGACCAGUCAACAGGCCCAUAGGCCCGGCCCGAGCUGGGCCGCGGGCCUCUUAUUUACGGCCCGGCCCGCCCCGGCCCGCCCGUUGGAGACCCUUAUGAUUGAUGCUCCAACACACUCUCUCCCUCUGUAUAGUCUUUGAGCUUUAUUCAUAACUUUAACAAAAUUCUUUCUCAAAAGAAGUGACAAUAAUAAUAAAAAAGAUUGAAUUAUUGGAAGGGAUGUAAAGUAGAUGUUGAUGGGCAUAUCUUUUAAUGAAAAAAAGUCUUUGGUAUUAUGGGGGAUGACUGGUGAGUCUUUUGAUUUAUCCGUGCAUUGCUCUUUAUUCUUUUAUCUUUUUAAAUACAAAUUAUUGGAAAUGUCCUGGAAGGUGUAACAUUAGAUUAAAAGAGAAAAAGGAUUGGGAGGCUCAUGUGUAUAUAUGUAUAGAUGUCCAAGCACCACGAAGCGCAUAGCUUACCAUCAUCUAAUGGCAAAACAAAAAAACUCCUUUCUGUGGUUUCUCCUUCUCAGUCUCAUCUGCAGUCUGCUCAGCACCCACAGUACUGCAGCAGCUUCCGAGGAUGAUGUUCGAAAGGCAAGAAACACCCAUCUCUCUCUUGCUUUCUCUUAAUUAAUGGCUUGGUCAAUAUUCCAUGAACCAUACAUGCAUGCGUGGCGGAAAAAUUAAGAUUAAUCUUGCGCUGAAAAUCAUGCUUGGGUAGUGUUAAUAAACUGGAUUUGCAUCAAACAUGUUGUGGAUGCAGGAGUAUAUUGUGUACAUGGGUGCCAAGCCUGCCGGAGAUUUGUCGGCGUCUGCCAUUCACACCAACAUGCUGGAGCAAGUCUUUGGCAGGUCAGAAUUCACCUUUUGUUUUUUUGUUUUUGUUUUUUUAUUUAUUACAUAUAUGGUACCAUUUUCCCCAUGGAAUGCCUUUUCAGUGGUAGGGCAUCAAGUUCUCUAGUUCGCAGUUACAAAAGGAGUUUCAAUGGAUUUGUAGCGAAGCUAACAGAGGAGGAAAUGCAGCAAAUGAAAGGUGCGUAGGUGGGUUUAAAUCUUUCUUUAAUUGAAGUUUCUCAUGCGUGUAAUGGCUACAAAAUUAACUGUAACUUUGGAGUUUCAGGCAUGGACGGGGUGGUCUCGGUUUUCCCUAACGAAAAGAAACAGCUCCACACAACUAGGUCGUGGGAUUUCGUGGGGUUUCCCCGACAAGUUAAAAGAACAAGUUUUGAAAGCGACAUUAUCAUAGGAGUGCUUGACACUGGAAUAUGGCCAGAGUCUGACAGCUUCGAUGAUAAAGGAUUUGGCCCACCGCCAAGGAAAUGGAAGGGCACUUGCCACGGGUUUUCCAAUUUCACUUGCAACAAGUAAAUCUCACUCGCAACAGUGUCUAAAUACCCUGUUACAAAAGUUUAAAUACUAUCCUUAUUCCUUAACAAAACUUUCCACUGAUGUUAUUGCAGUAAAAUUAUUGGAGCCAAGUACUAUAAGAGCGAUGGAAAAUUUAGCCCAAAAGAUUUGCAUUCCCCAAGAGAUUCAGAAGGCCAUGGGACACACACUGCGUCAACUGCGGCAGGGGAUUUAGUCAGCAUGGCAAGUCUAAUGGGCUUUGGUUUAGGAACCGCACGGGGUGGGGUUCCAUCAGCUCGGAUAGCUGUGUAUAAGACGUGUUGGUCUGAUGGCUGUCAUGAUGCUGAUAUUCUUGCAGCAUUUGAUGAUGCAAUUGCUGAUGGGGUUGAUAUAAUAUCUAUUUCAGUUGGGGGUAAAACUCCCCAGAAAUAUUUUGAAGAUUCUGCUGCAAUCGGAGCUUUUCAUGCAAUGAAAAAUGGGAUACUAACAUCAACUUCUGCUGGUAACGAGGGACCUCUCCUUGUUUCCGUCACAAAUGUCUCGCCAUGGUCUCUUUCCGUGGCUGCUAGCACCACAUAUCGGAAGUUCUUGACCAAGGUGCAACUAGGUGACAGGAAGGUUUAUAAAGUAAGCUUGCUCACACUUUGGACUAAUAACCAUCACUUUCAAAUAUCAUUUAUUAAAGUAAUUGGAUUUCAACUACGUGGAGCUGAUUUUUGGAGGUGGAGGUUAUAUCAUUGCCUUUUGUGUAGGGAAUUUCGAUAAACACAUUUGAGCUCCAUGGCAUGUAUCCUUUGAUUUAUGGUGGGGAUGGCCCGAAUACUAGAGGAGGUUUUAGAGGGAACACAUCCAGGUACUUAUUAUUAUAGAAAGAAAAAUAAUUAAUUGAAAAUGAAAGCCGUAUGUUAGAAAUCCUGAAUUUUAAAGUGUGUGUGAUAGAUUACAGGACUUUCAUCACUGAAAUGCAGGUUUUGCCAAAUAAACUCACUGAACCCAAAUUUAGUGAAGGGUAAAAUUGUCCUUUGCAUUGGGCAUCGCGGUGGGUCUGAAGCAGCAUGGAGUGCAUUCUUGGCAGGUGCCGUUGGGACUGUGAUAGUGGAUGGACUCCAACUCCCCAGAGAUUUCAGCCGCAUUUAUCCCUUGCCUGCAUCUCGCCUUGGUGCAGGAGAUGGUAAAAGAAUUGCCUACUACAUCAGCUCAACAAGGUAUCAAUUUACACAGCUUCCUACUUUUAUUUGGAGAUGACUGUAAAUUAUUUAAGUGAUAUGCUUUAGGAUUUGUACGGCAUAUAUAUACUUAGUCUUACUACAUUUAAACAGUAACCCAACUGCAUCGAUAUUGAAGAGUAUUGAGGUUAGUGACACAUUGGCCCCAUAUGUACCCCCCUUCUCAUCAAGGGGUCCAAACCCAAUUACACACGACCUUCUCAAGGUAGCUUAUGCGAUUAUUCUUGAUUUUCUUCUCAUUUAUUCUAUUACAUUUUCAUUUCUAUAUCAUGUAAACCCAAUUCAACAUUUUCAUCACCCAUUUGAGAAAACAUAGGGUUUUUUUUCUUAAUCUAUGUUGAGAACGGUUACACAUAUCUCAGGCCAAAAGACCCCUUUUCCUUAGUUCAUAAAGACUUUCUAGAAGCUCGACAUUCAUGAUGACUUUGUGAUCUUACUGCAUGCAGCCAGAUUUAACAGCCCCAGGUGUACACAUUCUGGCUGCCUGGUCACCAAUUUCUCCCAUCUCUAAGGUACCUGGCGAUAAUCGAAUAGCGGAAUACAAUAUAGAAUCCGGCACGUCAAUGGCUUGCCCACAUGCUACUGGGGCAGCUGCCUACAUCAAGUCAUUUCACCCCACCUGGUCUCCUGCUGCUAUUAAGUCUGCUCUUAUGACUACUGGUAAUGACUGAAUUUUAUUCCUGGCCUUUCAAAUUAUGAAAGAGGUGAUAGUAAUGGAUCUUAGUCCUUUGUGUGUUUUGUAAGCAGCUACUCCCAUGAGUGCUAGAAAGAAUCCGGAAGCCGAAUUUGCAUAUGGUGCAGGCAAUAUUGAUCCUGUAAGGGCUGUGCACCCUGGUCUAGUGUAUGAUGCCGAUGAGAUUGACUUCGUAAAUUUUUUGUGCGGAGAAGGAUAUAGUGUUCAAAAUCUACGGCUAGUCACCGGGGAUCAUAGUGUCUGUUCUAAAGCUACGAAUGGAACCGUUUGGGAUCUAAAUUACCCGUCCUUUGCUCUUUCCAUCCCCUACAAAGAAUCAAUCGCUCGCACGUUCAAAAGGAGUGUCACAAAUGUUGGAUUACCAGUAUCCACAUAUAAAGCAACUGUUAUUGGUGCCCCUAAGGGACUCAAAGUCAACGUUCAACCAAACAUUUUAUCAUUCACAUCCAUCGGGCAGAAACUAUCUUUUGUGUUGAAGGUUAAAGGACGGAUAGUUAAAGACAUGGUCUCUGCUUCGUUAGUGUGGGAUGACGGUUUAUAUAAAGUGAGAUCCCCCAUUAUUGUGUAUGCAGUCCAAUAAAAUUCCAAAAGCCUGGUGUUUUGUACCAGUGGAAUUGUGGCAUCUAUCAUAUUGAACUAAAUGAUGUGGUAUCUAUAUAAGAUGGAAAUAAAUGAUAAUAUUCAGGAUCGGUUGUAUUACCUGUCCAUACGGGCUAUUGGAUCAAAUACCAAAUCGCAUGAGCCACUUGAACAGCCGGUAGACCCCCAGUUUUUUUUUU
rnacentral:lncRNA from 1 species